AUGGUCAUCGGCAUUUGUUUUUCUUGUAAUGAUAUUGAUAUGCUCCCUUUGCAUCUUUUAUCUCAUAUGCCAUGCCAUGACCACCUAGCUUCGGAUAUACAUUGUUUUGGGUAUUACCCAUUUUCUCCAUAUGAUGUUUCCAAUAUUGCACAUGAGGAGACCCCCAUAGUUUCCUCAUUCAUUUUAGGAAAUUUUGAUCACUCCCAUCAAUUGCAUGAUCCUUAUACUUGUAUGCUCAAUUUGCAUCCCCAUCGUGUUAUACACAAUAACUAUUCUUUCAUGAUGGCUGACAUGUUCUUAUACCAUGCAUCAAAUUUCUUUGAGCGAUGCUUAUCUUGUACUAACUUUGACGUGCACAUACACAUCAUGAUGGAUGAUGUGUACAUUUACGACACACACAAUUUCUUUGGCUUGCGUUUCUUUUGUUUAGGUACCCAUGAAUACUUGUCAACCCCGCAAUCCCACGAGUUGACCAAACGAGCUCUAGAGAGCAACGAUGACUUGGGAUCCCAGGGAUUGUCUUUCCCACCGCUCUCUUUGCGCAAAGACUCCGCACAAUUCUUCUACAUGACCCUCUCUUGGAUAUGGGUUAUUGUACACUACAUAUUCUAUGCCCAUCUUGCCAUGUUCACUUUGCAUAAUGUGUCAUUACUAUGCUUUUGCCAUGCAUUUGUGACCCAUGCUUUGCAUUACACAUGA
rnacentral:rRNA from 1 species